ensembl:lncRNA
GAUUGUUUCAGGAUGACCUCCCAUUAUCCAAUGACACAUCUGCUUACCUGCAUCUUUUGCUCGUUUCUCCUCCUCUUCUUUUCUCUUUUUCUAAACUUCUGUAGUCUGUAUCAUAAUGUCUGGUGUUUUCGUGUUUGUUGGUUUAUUUUUAUUUUGUUUUACUUUGCGAGUUGGUUAUUAGAUGCUGCCCCCGCCGCCCCGCCCUCUCCUCUCUGCGCCGCAAUCAGCAGGCGCACCUCGCAAACGAAGGGCGUCCUUACUCCCAGCAAAUGGGCGAUAGAAAACCGAUCGGUGCCUAUGCCAUUCCCAAUAUGCGCUGGCUGACGUCGGGGCAGCAUGAGUACAAGCUUUUUUUUUUCUUUUUUUUUUUUGCUGAUGCCCGUGAUGCCGCCCCCCACCACGAUGCCGCCCCGGGCAACCGCCCGUGUCGCCCGUAUCUAAAACCGCUACUGCAUCUGGUCCACAGCAUCCACAUCUAUUUGCUUUUCAAACCUGCCAAUGAGGGGCAGCCGAUCACAAAAGAGGAGGAGCUGGAACAGCUUGCUUCAGUCAGACAAGUAGCAAAGGCUCUGCACAAAGGUGCCCUAUAAGAUCAAUAAGGUUUGUUUUGAACUUGGAACCACAGCUAAUCUAGCAAAUAAAAAUAUGGAGCUGGAAAUGAACAUAAUUAGUCCUCCUUAAGGGCACGUCUACUUGAGAUUGUAGCUGAAGCAGACUGCCAAGUGUUUUCUAUUAUGCAACUGGUCAGAAGUCUGCAUUAAAGUUUAACCGACAGUGUAUGAACUCCAGGUGAAAAAUUUAAUUGGCCACUAUCAUUAAAUUAUAGAUGAACAUUUAAUUGUGUAGUUGUAAAUCAUUUAUUAUAAACCGCAGAGGCGGUUUAUAAUAAAGUAAGUCAGAGUUUUCAGUGUCCUCAAUGGUGGAUUCUGUUGGUGCAGUAACUCAGAAAACAAAAAUCUCCUAUGCUCAGGUCUCUCUGUCUCCACCUUCCCUGAAUCUCCUUCCCCUCAUCCCCACAAGUGUAUUAUCUAAG